UACGGAGGAUGCAAGCGUUAUCCGGAAUUAUUGGGCGUAAAGCGUCCGCAGGUGGUUAUCCAAGUCUGCUGUUAAAGCGCGAGGCUUAACUUCGUACAGGCAGUGGAAACUGGAUGACUAGAGUAUGGUAGGGGUCGCGGGAAUUCCCAGUGUAGCGGUGAAAUGCGUAGAUAUUGGGAAGAACACCAGCGGCGAAAGCGCGCGACUGGGCCAUAACUGACACUCAUGGACGAAAGCUAGGGGAGCGAAAGGG
rnacentral:rRNA from 1 species